GAAGGGGGCUUGCUCCUGGAUUCAGCGGCGGACGGGUGAGUAAUGCCUAGGAAUCUGCCUGGUAGUGGGGGAUAACGUCCGGAAACGGGCGCUAAUACCGCAUACGUCCAGAGGGAGAAAGUGGGGGAUCUUCGGACCUCACGCUAUCAGAUGAGCCUAGGUCGUAUUAGCUAGUUGGUGGGGUAAAGGCCUACCAAGGCGACGAUCCGUAACUGGUCUGAGAGGAUGAUCAGUCACACUGGAACUGAGACACGGUCCAGACUCCUACGGGAGGCAGCAGUGGGGAAUAUUGGACAAUGGGCGAAAGCCUGAUCCAGCCAUGCCGCGUGUGUGAAGAAGGUCUUCGGAUUGUAAAGCACUUUAAGUUGGGAGGAAGGGCAGUAAGUUAAUACCUUGCUGUUUUGACGUUACCAACAGAAUAAGCACCGGCUAACUUCGUGCCAGCAGCCGCGGUAAUACGAAGGGUGCAAGCGUUAAUCGGAAUUACUGGGCGUAAAGCGCGCGUAGGUGGUUCAGCAAGUUGGAUGUGAAAUCCCCGGGCUCAACCUGGGAACUGCAUCCAAAACUACUGAGCUAGAGUACGGUAGAGGGUGGUGGAAUUUCCUG
rnacentral:rRNA from 1 species